GACCCCAUCGUCUAGCCUGGUUAGGACAUCAGAUUUUCAUUCUGACAGCCGGGGUUCGAAUCCCCGUGGGGUCG
rnacentral:tRNA from 1 species